UACGUAGGUGGCAAGCGUUGUCCGGAAUUAUUGGGCGUAAAGCGCGCGCAGGUGGUUUCUUAAGUCUGAUGUGAAAGCCCACGGCUCAACCGUGGAGGGUCAUUGGAAACUGGGGAACUUGAGUGCAGGAGAGAAGAGUGGAAUUCCACGUGUAGCGGUGAAAUGCGUAGAGAUGUGGAGGAACACCAGUGGCGAAGGCGACUCUUUGGCCUGUAACUGACACUGAGGCGCGAAAGCGUGGGGAGCAACAGGAU
rnacentral:rRNA from 1 species